GAUGAACGCUAGCGGCAGGCCUAAUACAUGCAAGUCGGACGGGAUCCAUUGAUAGCUUGCUAUCCAUGGUGAGAGUGGCGCACGGGUGCGUAACGCGUGAGCAACCUGCCUCCAUCAGGGGGAUAGCCUCUCGAAAGAGAGAUUAACACCGCAUAAUAUCAACAGUUCGCAUGUUCAGUUGAUUAAAUAUUUAUAGGAUGGAGAUGGGCUCGCGUGACAUUAGCUAGUUGGUAGGGUAACGGCUUACCAAGGCGACGAUGUCUAGGGGCUCUGAGAGGAGAAACACCCACACUGGUACUGAGACACGGACCAGACUCCUACGGGAGGCAGCAGUAAGGAAUAUUGGUCAAUGGGCGGAAGCCUGAACCAGCCAUGCCGCGUGCAGGAUGACUGCACUAUGGGUUGUAAACUGCUUUUGUCCAGGAAUAAACCUAAAUACGAGUAUUUAGCUGAAUGUACUGGAAGAAUAAGGAUCGGCUAACUCCGUG
rnacentral:rRNA from 1 species